rnacentral:rRNA from 1 species
GUGCCAGCCGCCUGCGGUAAUUCCAGCUCCAAUAGCGUAUAUUAAAGUUGUUGUGGUUAAAAAGCUCGUAGUUGAACCUUGGGCCUGGCUGGCCGGUCCGCCUCACCGCGUGCACUGGUCCGGCCGGGCCUUUCCCUCUGUGGAACCCCAUACCCUUCACUGGGCGUGGCGGGGAAACAGGACAUUUACUUUGAAAAAAUUAGAGUGCUCCAGGCAGGCCUAUGCUCGAAUACAUUAGCAUGGAAUAAUAAAAUAGGACGCGCGGUUCUAUUUUGUUGGUUUAUAGGACCGCCGUAAUGAUUAAUAGGGACAGUCGGGGGCAUCAGUAUUCAACUGUCAGAGGUGAAAUUCUUGGAUCAGUUGAAGACUAACUACUGCGAAAGCAUUUGCCAAGGAUGUUUUCAUUAAUCAGGAACGAAAGUUAGGGGAUCGAAGACGAUCAGAUACCGUCGUAGUCUUAACCAUAAACUAUGCCGACUAGGGAUCGGACGGUGUUAUUCAUGACCCGUUCGGCACCUUACGAGAAAUCAAAGUGCUUGGGCUCCAGGGGGAGUAUGGUCGCAAGGCUGAAACUUAAAGAAAUUGACGGAAGGGCACCACCAGGGGUGGAGCCUGCGGCUUAAUUUGACUCAACACGGGGAAACUCACCAGGUCCAGACACAAUAAGGAUUGACAGAUUGAGAGCUCUUUCUUGAUUUGUGGGUGGUGGUGCAUGGCCGUUCUUAGUUGGUGGGGUGACUUGUCUGCUUAAUUGCGAUAACGAACGAGACCUUAACCUGCUAAAUAGCCCGCAUUGCUCCGGCAGUGCGCUGGCUUCUAAGAGGAACUUUCGCUCAAGGCCGAAGGAAGUUGAGCAAUAACAGGUCUGUGAUGCCCUAGAUGUUCUGGACGCAGCGGGCCUACAUGACGGGUCCGGCGAGUUCCUUGCUCGA